UAUUAUUUCUUUUAAAACUAUUUAAAUUAUCUUAAUUGUAAAAAGACAAUUUUAUCAUAGAAAGACGAUAAGACCCUAUCGAACUUAACUUUAGUUUAACUGGGACAGUUAAUUAAUUAUUAUUUUAAUAAAACUAAACCUAUAAUUUGACCUAAUAUAAUUAAUAAAAUAAUUAAGUUACCGUAGGGAUAACAGCGUAAUAAAAUUUUUCAGGCCUUAUUUAAAAUAAAGAUUACGACCUCGAUGUUGAUUUAAUAACCUAAUUAUAACGCAAUAGUAAAUAAAGGAAGUCUGUUCGACUUUUAAAAAAUUACAUGAUUUGAGUUCAGACCGGCGUAAG
rnacentral:rRNA from 1 species